UGGAACUCAAGUACAGAAAACACACAAACUUUCACAGUGGAGUUUGAUCCAAGAACAGACAGAUUGUCUUCAUCUUCAAGAUGCUGUCAGUGAACUUCAGUCUGUUUGUCACUUUGUUUCUGCUCACAAUAAGAGAGUGUAAAGGAGAAGACAAAGUGAUGCAGCCAUCAGGAGAUGUCAUUGCUGCUGAAGGAGAUACAGUUACACUGGAUUGUACUUUUGAGACCACCUCCACAGCAACACAAACUACAUUGUUCUGGUACAAACAAGAAAUAAAUGACUUUCCAAAGUACAUUUUACGACGUAACUCGUAUGGAGGAGAUGAUAAUGCUCCAGAGUUCCAGAAAGACAGAUUUGAUGCUAAAAUCAACAAGACAUCAGUUCCUCUGAAGAUCCAGAAGCUUCAGCUGUCAGACUCUGCUGUGUACUACUGUGCUGUGAGGCCCACAGUGACAGGAAACAGCAAAAAUCUGUACAAAAACCUUUGGAGCAAAGACAACAGAAAACUCCACAACAUCCACUAGAGGGAGACACACUCUGUUACACAGCUUUGCCAUGAUUUCAUGUUUUGAUAGAGUCUAGAAUCUGUUUACUCUCAGAUGAGAUUAUGAUGUAAAACAAAUGAAACCACUUAAAACUUACAAUAAGGUUACCAUAGCAACAAUGAAUGACAUCUCAAAUUCCCAUGUCCUGUAGUUAGAUAUUGAGAUAUA